rnacentral:tmRNA from 1 species
GGGGCUGUAAUGGUUUCGACGGGAGUCUUGAAAGCUGAGAUAGCCAUCCGCAGUAUCGGUCAACUGCGUACCAAGGCCGUAACCUUUUAAAAAGAAACGACAAUAAUAGAGAAUUAGUAGCUGCCUAAGCGCGGCUCGUCGGCCCGGGAUUGCUCACAGUCCCGGUAACCGGCGUCGACCUUGUGAGGACCUUUUUCGCCUAAGCUUUGCGGCGGAAAAAGACAUAUGAAGCUACCUGAUCCCACAGCCUGACUGUCGGCGGCGGGAGAGGGGAAUUUCAAAAGACAGCCUGUGAUGGGAGAAGUCUUUGCCGAUGGGCUUUCGGACAGGAGUUCGAUUCUCCUCAGCUCCAC